rnacentral:rRNA from 1 species
AUUGAACGCUGGCGGCAGGCUUAAUACAUGCAAGUCGAGCGGAGAUGAGGUGCUUGCACCUUAUCUUAGCGGCGGACGGGUGAGUAAUGCUUAGGAAUCUGCCUAUUAGUGGGGGACAACAUUCCGAAAGGAAUGCUAAUACCGCAUACGUCCUACGGGAGAAAGCAGGGGAUCUUCGGACCUUGCGCUAAUAGAUGAGCCUAAGUCGGAUUAGCUAGUUGGUGGGGUAAAGGCCUACCAAGGCGACGAUCUGUAGCGGGUCUGAGAGGACGAUCCGCCACACUGGGACUGAGACACGGCCCAGACUCCUACGGGAGGCAGCAGUGGGGAAUAUUGGACAAUGGGGGGAACCCUGAUCCAGCCAUGCCGCGUGUGUGAAGAAGGCCUUAUGGUUGUAAAGCACUUUAAGCGAGGAGGAGGCUACUGAGACUAAUACUCUUGGAUAGUGGACGUUACUCGCAGAAUAAGCACCGGCUAACUCUGUGCCAGCCGCCGCGGUAACAC